rnacentral:rRNA from 1 species
GGGAGUUGUUAGUAAUUUUUAAGUUAUUGACUCUAGAGGAGCCUAAAAUACAAGUCGUGCGAGAAAGCACGAGCAAACUUGUUAAUAAAGUGACGACCGGGGGAGUAACACGUGAUUAACCUACCUUCCAGUGGGGGAUAACCUCGCCAAACCGGGGAUAAUACCGUAUAAUGCCUUCCGGUUAAAGGAGCAAUUAUCUUGACGAGGGAGUCGCGACUGAUUAGCUAGUUGGCGGGGUAACGGCCCACCCAGGCGAUCAUCGGUAGCCGGCCUGAAUUGGCGCACGGACACACUGGACCUGAAACACGGACCACACUCCUACUUGAGGCACCAACGGGGAUUUGUACUAAAUGCGGGAAACCCUGACGCAUCAGCACCUCGUGGAGGAUGAAGGCGAUGGGGGCUGAAACUCCUUUCGACCGUUACGAUCAUAACUGACCAGGUGAGAGGAGGGCCGGCUAGCUGCAUGCCAGAUGUCGCCAAUUACGAAUGGUGCCAGCGUUGUUCCUUUUAUUGGGGAUAAGGUGGCGUAGGUUGAUGGUAUUUCACCUGAGAAACCUCGGGGCUUAACCGGCUCCUCCAGUCGAAGUACCUUAAUUCGAUUUUGUGACAGGUGACCCCAAAUCCCCCCGUGUGCCUUGGUAAGGCUUUAACUCGGGGAGGAACGCGUACUGUAAAAACCCUGGCCCAUUGUACCACAAAUGAAUAUAACGCGGGAAAACCUAGGGGUAACAAAGUGGAAUAGACACCCCUGGUA